AUGACCUUGACACAUUUGAAGAGUACUUUUCAGCUAUUUGGUAGAAGGUCCUUCAACUUAGAAUCUCAAAUGAUGGAGAAUUCACAAAAAGGGUGUUAAACUAAACCUGAAAUAAGUGUUAUCUAUUCAGGAGAAAGAAAUGCCAAAAGCAGACCUAAGGAAGAUGGGGAGAAAAUUCUACAUUUGAUGGAUAUAAGGGAAGCUCUCAGAAUCAAGCUCUGGAAACAGACUGGAAAGAACUAGAAUAUUGUAAUGAGACUUGCCUGUUCAAGAACUAUAAACUAUGGAGACUAAGGAAAGAAGGAUAUCUUCAACUCGAAGCUCUCUAAGGGAAGCCAGCCUAUCAGCUAACUGAAUCCUGGUGUAAGGAGAUAAUCUGCACAGCCCCUUUCUCUACUAAACUUCAAAUGUUUGUUACAAAGCAACACCCAGCCAGCACCACCCGACUCCCUAUGAACUGUCAGUGAGAUAAAGCUGCAAGGUUCCCACCACUGAUUUUUUCCCCCAGAAAGAAUACCAUUUCAGCUUCAUGACUCAUGGUUUACAUUCAGUAUGUAAGCAUUUGAAUAUCACUCUUGUUUUAUGUGUAUAUUUGAAUAACUUUUUAUAUUGACAUACUUUCAAGAAAAAUCUUCUUUCGAAAUCUGAACAAGAUGUUCAAAAACGCAAAACUGGUUUUUAGUAAACCAAGUUGAACUUAAAAGUGCCGCUGCAUGGAAAAGAGCAACAAAAUGUUUCCUAGCGGUUAUGUACGAUUGUUUUAUUAGGUUUGAUAAGACUAAACAGUCCAAAGAGUUGACAGUCCUGACACCUGGCAUAUGAAAGAUGGAAUUCCUGAAUGGAAAUUAUUCUUAUUGAACUUCUCUGAAGAGUUUUGGCUGAAAAGAAGUAUCUUUUCCAACGCCAGUACAUUCUCGGCGCUCCUUCAACUGGCUGAAAAAUGAGGUACUGAAUUCUUUGCUUAAUGGGAAAUCUACUGUUGUUUUAAUACAUUUUUUUGGAAUCUUUUUUUUUUAAA